rnacentral:rRNA from 1 species
GACGAACGCGGGCGGCGUGCUUAACACAUGCAAGUCGAACGGAAAGGCCCUGCUUUUGUGGGGUGCUCGAGUGGCGAACGGGUGAGUAACACGUGAGUAACCUGCCCUUGACUUUGGGAUAACUUCAGGAAACUGGGGCUAAUACCGGAUAGGAGCUCCUGCUGCAUGGUGGGGGUUGGAAAGUUUCGGCGGUUGGGGAUGGACUCGCGGCUUAUCAGCUUGUUGGUGGGGUAGUGGCUUACCAAGGCUUUGACGGGUAGCCGGCCUGAGAGGGUGACCGGCCACAUUGGGACUGAGAUACGGCCCAGACUCCUACGGGAGGCAGCAGUGGGGAAUAUUGCACAAUGGGCGGAAGCCUGAUGCAGCAACGCCGCGUGCGGGAUGACGGCCUUCGGGUUGUAAACCGCUUUCGCCUGUGACGAAGCGUGAGUGACGGUAAUGGGUAAAGAAGCACCGGCUAACUACGUG